rfam:Chryseobacterium sp. MOF25P AB670_contig000085, whole genome shotgun sequence.
CCCUAGCCCCGAUUGGAAUGACAUCCUUUUUGGUUGCGGGUGGAGCGAAGCGGAACCCGUAACCAAAAAGAUAUAAUGGAAAGAGGGAAAAAGC